rnacentral:rRNA from 1 species
AGAGUUUGAUCCUGGCUCAGGACGAACGCUGGCGGCGUGCCUAACACAUGCAAGUCAGGGGGAAAGCUGGCUUCGGCCAGUGAGUACACCGGCGGACGGGUGAGUAACGCGUGAGCAACCUACCCCGCAGACCGGGAUAACCCAUCGAAAGGUGGGCUAAUACUGGAUGAGCGCACGUGCUGCAUGGCAUGUGUGAAAAGGCAGGCAUUAAGCUUGCGCUGCGGGAUGGGCUCGCGUCCCAUUAGCUAGUUGGUGAGGUAACGGCUCACCAAGGCUACGAUGGGUAGCCGGCCUGAGAGGGUGGUCGGCCACAUUGGGACUGAGACACGGCCCAGACUCCUACGGGAGGCAGCAGUGGGGAAUAUUGCGCAAUGCCGGAAACGGUGACGCAGCGACGCCGCGUGGGCGAGGAAGGCCUUCGGGUUGUAAAGCCCUUUCAGUGGGGAAGAAAGGUCCAGGCAGUAACUGGUUUGGAUUUGACGGUACCCACAGAAG